AGUGAACGCUGGCGGUAGGCCUAACACAUGCAAGUCGAACGGCAGCACAGUAAGAGCUUGCUCUUACGGGUGGCGAGUGGUGGACGGGUGAGGAAUACAUCGGAAUCUACUUUUACGUGGGGGAUAACGUAGGGAAACUUACGCUAAUACCGCAUACGACCUACGGGUGAAAGCAGGGGAUCUUCGGACCUUGCGCGAUUGAAUGAGCCGAUGUCGGAUUAGCUAGUUGGCGGGGUAAAGGCCCACCAAGGCGACGAUCCGUAGCUGGUCUGAGAGGAUGAUCAGCCACACUGGAACUGAGACACGGUCCAGACUCCUACGGGAGGCAGCAGUGGGGAAUAUUGGACAAUGGGCGCAAGCCUGAUCCAGCCAUACCGCGUGGGUGAAGAAGGCCUUCGGGUUGUAAAGCCCUUUUGUUGGGAAAGAAAAGCAGCAGGUUAAUACCCCGCUGUUCUGACGGUACCCAAAGAAUAAGCACCGGCUAACUUCGUG
rnacentral:rRNA from 1 species